rnacentral:rRNA from 1 species
UGAGUACGAGCUGCUACGGCAGCGAAGUGGGUGAUGUCAAGCUUCCAAGAAAAGCCCUAUACCCGUUAAGGCAUGAUGGCCUGUACCCGAAACCGACACAGGUGGGGUGGUAGAGAAUACCGAGGGGCGCGAGAUAACUCUCUCUAAGGAACUCGGCAAAAUGGCCCCGUAACUUCGGGAGAAGGGGUGCCACCGCAAGGUGGUCGCAGUGAAGAGGCCCAGGCGACUGUUUACCAAAAACACAGGUCUCCGCUAAGUCGCAAGACGAUGUGUGGGGGCUGACGCCUGCCCAGUGCCGGAAGGUUAAGGAAGCUGGUCAGCGCAAGCGAAGCUAGCGACUGAAGCCCCGGUGAACGGCGGCCGUAACUAUAACGGUCCUAAGGUAGCGAAAUUCCUUGUCGGGUAAGUUCCGACCCGCACGAAAGGCGUAACGAUCUGGGCGCUGUCUCGGAGAGAGGCUCGGCGAAAUAGAAUUGUCUGUGAAGAUGCGGACUACGUGCACCCGGACAGAAAGACCCUAUGAAGCUUUACUGUAGCUUGGUAUUGUGCUCGGGCUCGGAAUGCGCAGGAUAGGUGGGAGGCUAUGAACCAUUGCUUGUGGGUGAUGGUGAGCCACUGGUGAGAUACCACUCUUUCCGAGCUAGAGUUCUAACAGCCACCCGUUAUCCGGGGGCUGGACAGUAUCAGGUGGGCAGUUUGACUGGGGCGGUCGCCUCCUAAAAGGUAACGGAGGCGCGCAAAGGUUUGCUCAGGCUGGUUGGAAAUCAGCCGACGAGUGUAAAAGCAGAAGCAAGCUUGACUGUGAGACCUACAAGUCGAACAGGGAGGAAACUCGGCUUUAGUGAUCCGACGGUUCUGCGUGGAAGGGCCGUCGCUCAACGGAUAAAAGUUACUCUAGGAUAACAGGCUGAUCUCCCCCAAGAGUUCACAUCGACGGGGAGGUUUGGCACCUCGAUGUCGGCUCAUCGCAACCUGGGGCUGAAGUCGGUCCCAAGGGUUGGGCUGUUCGCCCAUUAAAGCGGUACGCGAGCUGGGUUCAGAACGUCGUGAGACAGUUCGGUCCAUAUCCGGUGCAUGCGCAGGAAUAUUGAGAGGAUUUCUCCCUAGUACGAGAGGACCGGGAGGAACGCACCUCUGGUGUACCAGUUAUCGUGCCAACGGUAAACGCUGGGUAGCCAUGUGCGGAGAGGAUAACCGCUGAAAGCAUCUAAGUGGGAAGCCCACCUCAAGAUGAGUAUUCCCAUGGGGUAACCCAGUAAGGUCACGGGAAGAACACCCGUUGAUAGGCUCUACGUGGAAGCGCAGUAAUGUGUGAAGCGGAGGAGUACUAAUAGACCGAGGGCUUGACC